CCCGCCGGCGACCGGCGCACGGGUGAGUAACACGUAUGCAACCUGGCCGCCACAGGGGGAUAACCCGCGGAAACGCGGCCUAAUACCCCGUGACGCCACCGGAGGGCAUCCUCCGGUGGCCAAAGGAGCGAUCCGGUGGCGGAUGGGCAUGCGGCGCAUUAGCUAGACGGCGGGGUGACGGCCCACCGUGGCGACGAUGCGUAGGGGUUCUGAGAGGAAGGCCCCACAUUGGAACUGAGACACGGUCCAAACUCCUACGGAAGGCAGCAG
rnacentral:rRNA from 1 species